GGCAGCACCGCACCGCACGGAGCCCCCUCCGCUCACAUCGCCUUCCAAUGGGAACAGGGAAUAAAUAGAAAGUUAUGCACGAAGAAAUCUUUAUGAAUAAAUCAUAAAAUCGAGUCCUGCUGCACUCCAGGAAGCCCCCAGAUGUGCUUCUGAAUGACCAAAGCCUGGGGAAGGACUCAUGCCCAUCCCAGAGGGCACUGGUAGCUUUUCCAUGCAGAUACUCAACAACGUGCUUUGACUUCUGGUUAGCCCUGCCAUGGUCAGGCAGUCGGAGUAGUUGUUUUUUGGAAGACCCUUCCAAAUCAACUCUUUCAUUCCAUUCUAUUCCACUCCAUCCCACUCCACUGAAAGCCAUGUGCAGGACAGACCCCAGCUUUGGAGCAGAAGUAUUCCCCUUGGAGCAGCACCAGGUCAACAUGAGCAGUACGGGGCUUUGGCUGUGUGGCUUCUGGGAGUGCAUGAGGUGGGGAUGUGAAAUAUGGACAGAGAGCACUCAUCGGCUCCUGAGACAAAAGAUGACUUGGAGAGACCCCAUGGUGCUGGGAAGUGAAGGGCUUUUCUUUUGUCUCCAAAAAAGUAAGGGGACAAUGCCAGUUAGGGCUCCAGAGAGGCAGCAAUGUACUUUGGCAGCCCCUUAGCCGCUCCGUUCAAGGGUUAGCCCAGCUUAAACGCUGUAAACUGCAAAGGAAACCCAGAAUGACAAACAAUUGUAGGAACCUGAAAGACCAAGUUCCUCUGGAUUUCAUGGGAAGUGUGGUUUUAAAUAUUCCAACCUGUCUGUCUGGGGGGAAGUGGGCAAUAAAUAGCAGCCCGGUUGUUAUCAAGAGGAUGUGAGCUAUUUAUAAAAAAUUCUUGGGCUUUUUGAACUCUGUUUAAAGAGGCAAUAUCCUUCACUUGGGUAAUUGGGGGACUGAAAUGCUAAAGCAAACAAGAUUACUCAACCACCUUGGGAAAGUUUAGUGCUUGCCUGUGCGCUUCCGAAAUUUCCAGCGUAUUUAAACAGCUGCUCCAUUAUUGUCCCCACAUCCAGAGGAGAGCAUGAAAAGCUCUUUCAGGCCUCCCCUCGCUCAGAGAUGCAGCCGUGUGCUGCUCCUCCACGCAUCCAACCGGCAACCCAAGCGAGCAGCUGAGAGCUGCGCUGCUUCCUUGAAUUAUAUCUCACUGAAGUGAAGUGAAAGGGGCUCCUCUGGGCCUUACAGCGCCUCCAGCUCCAACACAGCACAGGGACUGCUGCAGGGGUGAGGAAGAGCAGCCACUGCCCUCCUCCUCCUCCCGCUCUCCUCCUGCUGCUGCCCCACGUCAGGAUGCGGCCCGACCCACAGCCCUGAAUGCGCCCCAUUGACAGCUCAUUUUAUUUUUCUGAGCACGGCCGUAGGGCAGACAGCCCUGCUCCUGUGUGGGAACCACACACAAAGUGUGCUGACAAAAUGAUGGCAUCCUCUAAAAUACACAAACACGCUCAAAAGAAGGAAAACCAUGAAAUUGAGGAUAACAAACAACAAAGAGAAGCUCAUACACAAAAUCUGUUGGUGUUUAUGAGUCACUGAGGCCUUCCUGUCCCAUCUCAGAAGUUGUGGGAAUGCACUGCAGCCCAUCCUCUCCCUGCAAAGUACUGAGGUGCUGUUAGGUGCUGUUUCCCUCCCAGUGCUGGGCCGGGGGCAGCCCCUGCACAAACCAAUGGCUAUUUUUUCCUUGUUUUUCUCAUCCUUCGAAGUAGGAAAACAAACCUGAGGAGCAAAUGCUGCACUGUGUGUGAGCAGGGAGUGCAGCUCGGCGAUGGGAUUGUGCUGUGUUCCUGCAUGGCCAUCUGACACGGGGGGCUUUACAAUGGAAUGGAUGGGAAAUGCCAGGAGAAGCUGAAGUGCUCCAGACAUGAGGUCUUUGUAGAAGCCCAUUCUUGACUGUUAACAAAGAAUUUUACCCCCUUCCCUGCCUUUCUCCCUUCGGCAAAUGAGGAUUUUCUUUCCCAAAUGUAUUCUUUUUAACCUCUCCACGUUGGGUCAUUGAGCACCACAUCCCAGCUCUGCACUUGUCCAUGCUGCCCAUACUCCAGGCAGAGCCACGACCCCCGGGUUGGGUGGGAUGUGUGGGACAGGCACUGCGCCAAGCACGGCCAUCAUACAAAUAAAAAGCAUAAGAUGCUGUACAGCGUCAUUGGAUACCACAACGCUCAGGCUGUGUGAGAGCGGCACGCCAAGUGCCUGGAUGUGACAGCAUCGAGCACUCCCAAAAGCUCCAGGGAAGUUAAACCCUCUGCGCUCACUGCCAGAAUCCCCGCCAGGACUUUCUCCCAGGAAAGCCCAGCUGGCCAUGGGUGGGGAUGCAGCGCCAGGUGCGGGAGCAUGCAGGAACCAGCAGCUCUCUGCUGCUCUGCCCAGCCUCAGUCCCACUCCUCCCGUUCCAUCAGCACACACAGCACUUCUGCUCCCCCCGGAUUUCUCCAUUUCCAUGGGAGGACACGGGUGAAACAAUAGGUGCCACUCAUUUCCCCAGUGGCUUCCUCAUACAGGGCUUAAUUCUCCUGGAAGGGAAGGAACAAUCCCUGUGUGGUGUAUUGAUGCACUUGGGGAUGGUCUGCAGUACGAACUCACACACAUCAUUUUUUCUUUUACAUUUUUGCCCAAUGACUUGCAUGACAAGCCUAAUAAAAGCUGAGACAAAUAACCCAAAACACACAAAAAUGUAAUACUGUUUUAUAUUAACUGCCAAAGCGCUUCAGUGACUGUAGGAAGAAACUGCACUGAAACAUUAGAACCAAAAUCAGCCAAGUAUGGAGGGAAAAAAAAGGAAAGAAAGAAAAAACACAGUUAAAAGUCCUCAACUGGUGUUGAGCUGCAAUGAGCCAACGCAGCGUCGUGGGCAGCACUGUCUGCUCUCAGGCACCUCUGUGCAGCAGUGCUCUGUGCAGCAGUGCUCCUUCACGGCCUGCCUGGAGAGGAGUAAAUGGCCCCCAGGCACCACAUCCCAGCCCCAGCCCUGCUCCAUUUCCUGCUCUCAGCCCCGCUCAGCUCCGGCCCAGCUUGCCAAAAAAUAAAAGACAACGGCAGCCCUCUAUUGCAACGGGUUGUAAACCAGGAUCCCUCUUCUCUCCGUCCUGCAAUGUAUCAGCAGUCUACCUGAGAGACUUGUUGGCUUUUAGGUACCGGUGACCCCAUGGCAAUUGAAAACAGGCAGUGAAGGCUCAGAAGUGUGAUCUAUACCCCAGGGUCACAUUAACAGCGCUGCAUGGAAAUGGAAACAGUUCUAGAAGCUGAUAGCACACUGAGAACACCCGACUCCAGCUCCGAUUGUGCCAAGCAGCUGUGAGAAAGCAAUACCAGCAGAAAGGGAAGAAUGUUUCCCUGUAUUUUCCUAGGCUCUGUGCCACCACGCCAGCCUGGCAGGGCAGGGCAGCCCUCAACGCUGCACUCGCUCAGCAGGCACAGGAUGCAGCGCUGUGCUGCUGGCAGAGUGGGGUCGGCUCCAGCAGCACCCAGCCCAGAUGUGAUCCCACAGCACCCAGCCCAGAUGUGAUCCCACAGCACCCAGCCCAGAUGUGAUCCCACAGCACCCAGCCCAGCAGCCGUGAGGAACCACUUCCUCAGCCCCAUAGCAAUGCACGAAGGAAUUUCCACAUAUCCCAAGACUUCCACUUCUAAACUUGGAGAAAGAAAUACCAGGACAUUCCUUUGUUGUUCCAGCUCGCUGCCUGUUUGAUCUGUUGGGUUUUUUUUUCUCUCCAGCUGAGUCAAUUAAAGAAUCCCAAUUUCCCCUGGAAAAAAAA
ensembl:lncRNA